UACGCGGGGGGCAAGCGUUGUUCGGAAUUACUGGGCGUAAAGGGCUCGUAGGCGGCCAACUAAGUCGGAUGUGAAAUCCCCAGGCUUAACCUGGGAACUGCAUCCGAUACUGGAUGGCUUGAAUCCGGGAGAGGGAUGCAGAAUUCCAGGUGUAGCGGUGAAAUGCGUAGAUAUCUGGAGGAAUACCGGUGGCGAAGGCGGCAUCCUGGACCAAUAUUGACGCUGAGGGGCGAAAGCCAGGGGAGCAAACGGG
rnacentral:rRNA from 1 species